rnacentral:lncRNA from 1 species
GGAUCUUGUGAUUGUGACCGUUCAUUGUAUAUCGUGCAAUUAGAAAUCAUUUUAAAAUUUAAAAUUAAAUAUAAAUAGUAACUAACGAUUUCUAACCGUACGAUAUAUGAUGAACGGUUCUUCUCAAAAAAAAUAUAUGAUGAACGGUCACGAUCACAGGAUCUUGAGGAUUCCUAGGAAAAGGAUUUGGCGGUGAUCUUGUGCUACGUGCGACAUACACAUUUUAAAUGUAUUUAUAUGCGUAAAUUGACAAGAAAAGUUAAAUAUUUGAAGUAAAUGAAUAAUCUUAGAUCAUGCUGUCUCUAUAGAAUUUACAUUAAGAAUACAGAAAAUAAUAUUUAAUAAACAAUGGAUUGAAUCACAU